rnacentral:rRNA from 1 species
UACGAAGGGGGCUAGCGUUGCUCGGAAUCACUGGGCGUAAAGGGUGCGUAGGCGGGUCUUUAAGUCAGGGGUGAAAUCCUGGAGCUCAACUCCAGAACUGCCUUUGAGUACUGAAGGUCUUGAGUUCGGGAGAGGUGAGUGGAACUGCGAGUGUAGAGGUGAAAUUCGUAGAUAUUCGCAAGAACACCAGUGGCGAAGGCGGCUCACUGGCCCGAUACUGACGCUG